rnacentral:rRNA from 1 species
UACAGAGGGGGCUAGCGUUGUUCGGAAUUACUGGGCGUAAAGGGCUCGUAGGCGGCCAACUAAGUCGGACGUGAAAUCCCUCAGCUUAACUGGGGAACUGCGUCCGAUACUGGAUGGCUUGGAUUUGGGAGAGGGAUGCGGAAUUCCAGGUGUAGCGGUGAAAUGCGUAGAUAUCUGGAGGAACACCGGUGGCGAAGGCGGCAUCCUGGACCAAUAUUGACGCUGAGGAGCGAAAGCCAGGGGAGCAAACGGG